rnacentral:rRNA from 1 species
UCAUCUCCGGGGGUAGAGCACUGUUUCGGCAAGGGGGUCAUCCCGACUUACCAACCCGAUGCAAACUGCGAAUACCGGAGAAUGUUAUCACGGGAGACACACGGCGGGUGCUAACGUCCGUCGUGAAGAGGGAAACAACCCAGACCGCCAGCUAAGGUCCCAAAGUCAUGGUUAAGUGGGAAACGAUGUGGGAAGGCCCAGACAGCCAGGAUGUUGGCUUAGAAGCAGCCAUCAUUUAAAGAAAGCGUAAUAGCUCACUGGUCGAGUCGGCCUGCGCGGAAGAUGUAACGGGGCUAAACCAUGCACCGAAGCUGCGGCAGCGACGCUUAUGCGUNNNNNNNNNNCUGGAGGUAUCAGAAGUGCGAAUGCUGACAUAAGUAACGAUAAAGCGGGUGAAAAGCCCGCUCGCCGGAAGACCAAGGGUUCCUGUCCAACGUUAAUCGGGGCAGGGUGAGUCGACCCCUAAGGCGAGGCCGAAAGGCGUAGUCGAUGGGAAACAGGUUAAUAUUCCUGUACUUGGUGUUACUGCGAAGGGGGGACGGAGAAGGCUAUGUUGGCCGGGCGACGGUUGUCCCGGUUUAAGCGUGUAGGCUGGUUUUCCAGGCAAAUCCGGAAAAUCAAGGCUGAGGCGUGAUGACGAGGCACUACGGUGCUGAAGCAACAAAUGCCCUGCUUCCAGGAAAAGCCUCUAAGCAUCAGGUAACAUCAAAUCGUACCCCAAACCGACACAGGUGGUCAGGUAGAGAAUACCAAGGCGCUUGAGAGAACUCGGGUGAAGGAACUAGGCAAAAUGGUGCCGUAACUUCGGGAGAAGGCACGCUGAUAUGUAGGUGAAGUCCCUCGCGGAUGGAGCUGAAAUCAGUCGAAGAUACCAGCUGGCUGCAACUGUUUAUUAAAAACACAGCACUGUGCAAACACGAAAGUGGACGUAUACGGUGUGACGCCUGCCCGGUGCCGGAAGGUUAAUUGAUGGGGUCAGCGCAAGCGAAGCUCUUGAUCGAAGCCCCGGUAAACGGCGGCCGUAACUAUAACGGUCCUAAGGUAGCGAAAUUCCUUGUCGGGUAAGUUCCGACCUGCACGAAUGGCGUAAUGAUGGCCAGGCUGUCUCCACCCGAGACUCAGUGAAAUUGAACUCGCUGUGAAGAUGCAGUGUACCCGCGGCAAGACGGAAAGACCCCGUGAACCUUUACUAUAGCUUGACACUGAACAUUGAGCCUUGAUGUGUAGGAUAGGUGGGAGGCUUAGAAGUGUGGACGCCAGUCUGCAUGGAGCCGACCUUGAAAUACCACCCUUUAAUGUUUGAUGUUCUAACGUUGACCCGUAAUCCGGGUUGCGGACAGUGUCUGGUGGGUAGUUUGACUGGGGCGGUCUCCUCCUAAAGAGUAACGGAGGAGCACGAAGGUUGGCUAAUCCUGGUCGGACAUCAGGAGGUUAGUGCAAUGGCAUAAGCCAGCUUGACUGCGAGCGUGACGGCGCGAGCAGGUGCGAAAGCAGGUCAUAGUGAUCCGGUGGUUCUGAAUGGAAGGGCCAUCGCUCAACGGAUAAAAGGUACUCCGGGGAUAACAGGCUGAUACCGCCCAAGAGUUCAUAUCGACGGCGGUGUUUGGCACCUCGAUGUCGGCUCAUCACAUCCUGGGGCUGAAGUAGGUCCCAAGGGUAUGGCUGUUCGCCAUUUAAAGUGGUACGCGAGCUGGGUUUAGAACGUCGUGAGACAGUUCGGUCCCUAUCUGCCGUGGGCGCUGGAGAACUGAGGGGGGCUGCUCCUAGUACGAGAGGACCGGAGUGGACGCAUCACUGGUGUUCGGGUUGUCAUGCCAAUGGCACUGCCCGGUAGCUAAAUGCGGAAGAGAUAAGUGCUGAAAGCAUCUAAGCACGAAACUUGCCCCGAGAUGAGUUCUCCCUGACUCCUUGAGAGUCCUGAAGGAACGUUGAAGACGACGACGUUGAUAGGCCGGGUGUGUAAGCGCAGCGAUGCGUUGAGCUAACCGGUACUAAUGAACCGUGAGGCUUAACCUUACAACGCCGAAGCUGUU